rnacentral:rRNA from 1 species
UCAACGAGUCGGGUUGUUUGGGAAUGCAGCCCAAAUCGGGCGGUAGACUCCGUCCAAGGCUAAAUACAGGCGAGAGACCGAUAGCGAACAAGUACCGCGAGGGAAAGAUGAAAAGGACUUUGAAAAGAGAGUCAAAGAGUGCUUGAAAUUGCCGGGAGGGAAGCAGAUGGGGGCCGGCGAUGCGCCCCGGCCGUAUGCGGAACGGCUCUUGCUGGUCCGCCGCUCGGCUCGAGGUGUGGACUGUUGUCGGCCGCGCCGGCGGCUAAAGCCCGGGGGCCUUAGGUGCCCCCGGUGGCCGUCGUCGGCACGGCCGGUACCCGCGCGCCGAAAGGCGUGUCCCUCGGGGCACUGCGCUGCAACGGCCUGCGGGCUCCCCAU